rnacentral:rRNA from 1 species
AAGGAUCAUUAAUAAUGCUCUCUGGCUUCGGUCAGCUGAGUUCAAUGAGUGCCUUCUCUUCGGAGUUGGCCAUCCACACACACCGUGAACUGUGGCUUCGGCCAUCACAAACUGUUAGUAAUGAAUGUAAUAUCAUAACAAAAACAAAACUUUUAACAACGGAUCUCUUGGCUCUCGCAUCGAUGAAGAACGCAGCGAAAUGCGAUAAGUAAUGUGAAUUGCAGAAUUCAGUGAAUCAUCGAAUCUUUGAACGCACCUUGCGCCCUUUGGUAUUCCGAAGGGCAUGCCUGUUUGAGUGUCAUGAAACCUCACCCCACUUGGGUUUUUGCCUGAGCGGUGGUGUAUUGGGUGUUGCCUUGCCAAAGGCUCGCCUUAAAAACAUAAGCACCUUGGAUGUAAUACGUUUCAUCCUUCUGGGUGGCUGAUAACCCCACAUAUUCAUGAUCUGGCCUCAAAUCAGGUAGGGCUACCCGCUGAACUUAA